UACGUAGGUGGCAAGCGUUGUCCGGAAUUACUGGGUGUAAAGGGCGUGUAGGCGGGAUGUUAAGUCAGAUGUGAAAUUCCAAGGCUCAACCUUGGCGCUGCAUCUGAAACUGACGUUCUUGAGUGAUGGAGAGGAAAGUGGUAUUCCUAGUGUAGCGGUGAAAUGCGUAGAUAUUAGGAGGAACACCAGUGGCGAAGGCGACUUUCUGGACAUUAACUGACGCUGAGGCGCGAAAGCGUGGGGAGCAAACAGG
rnacentral:rRNA from 1 species